GAAAUGCGAUAAGUAAUGCGAAUUGCAGAAUUCAGUGAGUCAUCGAAUCUUUGAACGCACAUUGCGCCCCUUGGUAUUCCGAGGGGCAUGCCUGUUCGAGCGUCAUUACGACCCCUCAAGCCCGGCUUGGUGUUGGGGCCUGCCGUGCCGGCAGCCCUUAAAAUCAGUGGCAGCGCCAUCUGGCCCUGAGCGUAGUAAUCCUUCUCGCUACGGAGCCUGGGUAGGCGCUCGCCAUCAACCCUAAAUUUUCUAUGGUUGACCUCGGAUCAGGUAGGGAUACCCGCUGAACUUAA
rnacentral:misc_RNA from 1 species